GUCUCUUUCAGCUUUUCUUCCGAUUCAUCGUCGUCCUCAGUCAUGAUCACCACAUCGCACCAGAGCGACCACAAAACAAAAAUUCCAAUCCUAUCCCCAUGUUUCAAUCGCAUUCAUCAUCCCCAAUCCACUGAACCCUAUUCAAAGCAGCCAUUGACGAUCGCUCACCAACAUCACCAUCCUCAUCUCUCAAUUCUGAUGCUGUCGAUGUUGCUGUGAACAAUCAGAAGAAGAAGAAGAAACAACAACGAUGACUUCUUCUUCUUCUUCGGGCACGAUCAACAUCGCUGCAAGUGCUCAGAAACUCGAUGUCGAUAACCGAAUCGCUCUCUGUUUCUACUUCCGGAUCGCCGAUAACAUCCUCCGUCAAGCUCUAUCACCACAUCGCAUCAGAGCAACCAUCGCUCCAUCUCCAUCGCAGCCACACUCCACCGCAAGCAGCUGUGCUUCCAGAUCCAGCAAAUUCUCCUUGUUCACGAUACUCACCGGAGAAGAAACCCUAGAUCCGCGAUGCUACAUGUCCGACACCUCCAUAAUUCCACUCCGGCUACCACCAGGUGGCGCAACAAGCUCGAGAGGUCGCGUUUCUUGCCUUUCUUCUUCUGAUUCGAUCUUGUUUCUUACCCGCAGGUACACUGAAUUGGAAAUUGCGGUGUCGGAGAUAGGAAUUGUAGGGCUGAACGCGGAGAAUUUAGGGAUUGGAGGUGUUUGGGUUGACAGUGAUCCUAUACUACCCGCAUCAACCUCAGUAGUUGGAGGAUGGAUGAAGCAGGUUGAUAAGGGAUAUUGAAAGUGACUCAGUCUUGAGGCUCAAUCACUAGAGGACAAUGCCAAUGCUAAUGAUGAACCGGUUGAAACUGCUGAUCAUGCAAAGGGAUUUCACUAAUGUUAGUGAGGGUCAAUUGAUGACAAUAUAGAUACAAUGAGGCAUAUAUGUAGUUUGUGGCAUUUAAAAAUAUGCCAGUUUCAAUUUGUGGCAUUUAGAAGAUGCCAGAAGCAUUUGUGGCAUACAAAAACCGGCAUUUAAGCAAAAAAUGCCACAAAACAGUUGUGGCACCUGUAAUAGAGGCACUUAAAGGUGAAUGCCACUAAUCACACUUGGGGCAUUUAAUAAAUGCCACAACUUAACAAUAUCAAUGCCACUAAAAAUACAUUUUUUUGUAGUGAAA